rnacentral:rRNA from 1 species
GACGAACGCUGGCGGCGUGCUUAACACAUGCAAGUCGAACGGAAAGGCCCUGCUUUUGCGGGGUGCUCGAGUGGCGAACGGGUGAGUAACACGUGAGUAACCUGCCCUUGACUUUGGGAUAACUUCAGGAAACUGGGGCUAAUACCGGAUAGGAGCUCCUGCUGCAUGGUGGGGGUUGGAAAGUUUCGGCGGUUGGGGAUGGACUCGCGGCUUAUCAGCUUGUUGGUGGGGUAGUGGCUUACCAAGGCUUUGACGGGUAGCCGGCCUGAGAGGGUGACCGGCCACCUUGGGACUGGGAUUCGGCCCCGACCCCUACGGGAGGCAGAAGUGGGGAAUAUUGCACAAUGGGCGGAAGCCUGAUGCAGCCACGCCGCGUGCGGGAUGACGGCCUUCGGGUUGUAAACCGCUUUCGCCUGUGACGAAGCGUGAGUGACGGUAAUGGGUAAAGAAGCCCCGGCUAACUACGUG